UUUUGGUCUUGUUAGGGGUACCAUAUCUUUUCUCAAUUUGGGACCAUAUACUCUGUGCAGUAUCGGAAUACUGCACACUAUCAGCAAUCUGAGGAGACACGGAAGAGGUCAACCAGGAAAUGACCAUGUUAUUACAUCUAUCCCACAGCCUCUAUUGAGCCACAUUAGUGGUAGUUCGAGGACAUGAGCCGUCAACAAAUCCGAUUUUGUUUUUAGCAGAUAAUGCAACAUUCAUUUUUCUCCUCCAACCCCCAUAACCACUACCCGAGAAGGGAGUGGGGAAAAGAGAGACCCCAGGGACAUCAGAGGAAUAUACAAAGAGGGGGCUGGUAGAGUCUACCGAGGAGGAGAUACCAGCAGUGGUAUCAGAAGCCAUGAUUAAUGAACCAGCUUGAAAGAAAAACAGUUUCGACAAGCAAAAUAUAACGAAACCAGAUACUCACAUACGGAACCAGAUAAUCACACACAAAGCAUACAAUACUCAAAAUAAGGACAGAGUUACACUCCUUCUUCGCGACCGGAGAAGAUCGGCCUUCAAUCAACAGAGA
rnacentral:lncRNA from 1 species